UACGUAGGGGGCAAGCGUUGUCCGGAUUUAUUGGGCGUAAAGAGCUCGUAGGUGGUUCGGUAAGUCGGAUGUGAAAUCUCCAGGCUCAACCUGGAGGGGUCAUUCGAUACUGCCGUGACUAGAGUUCGGUAGGGGAGUGUGGAAUUCCUGGUGGAGCGGUGAAAUGCGCAGAUAUCAGGAGGAACACCCGUAGCGAAGGCGGCACUCUGGGCCGAUACUGACACUGAGACGCGAAGGCAUGGGGAGCGAACGGG
rnacentral:rRNA from 1 species